GACGAACGCUGGCGGCGUGCUUAACACAUGCAAGUCGAACGGAAAGGCCCUGCUUUUGUGGGGUGCUCGAGUGGCGAACGGGUGAGUAACACGUGAGUAACCUGCCCUUGACUUUGGGAUAACUUCAGGAAACUGGGGCUAAUACCGGAUAGGAGCUCCUGCUGCAUGGUGGGGGUUGGAAAGUUUCGGCGGUUGGGGAUGGACUCGCGGCUUAUCAGCUUGUUGGUGGGGUAGUGGCUUACCAAGGCUUUGACGGGUAGCCGGCCUGAGAGGGUGACCGGCAACAUUGGGACUGAGAUACGGCCCAGACUCCUACGGGAGGAAGCAGGGGGGAAUAUUGAACAAUGGGCGGAAGCCUGAUGCAGCAACGCCGCGUGCGGGAUGACGGCCUUCGGGUUGUAAACCGCUUUCGCCUGUGACGAAGCGUGAGUGACGGUAAUGGGUAAAGAAGCACCGGCUAACUACGUG
rnacentral:rRNA from 1 species